rnacentral:rRNA from 1 species
GUGCCAGCAGCCGCGGUAAUACGGAGGGUGCAAGCGUUGUCCGGAUUUAUUGGGUUUAAAGGGUGCGUAGGCGGUCUUUUAAGUCAGCGGUGAAAUCCUCCAGCUUAACUGGAGAACUGCCAUUGAUACUGGAAGACUUGAGUACAGACGAGGUUGGCGGAAUUGAUUGUGUAGCGGUGAAAUGCAUAGAUACAAUCAAGAACACCGAUUGCGUAGGCAGCUAACUAGGCUGUAACUGACGCUGAGGCACGAAAGCGUGGGGAGCGAACAGGAUUAGAUACCCUGGUAGUCCACGCUGUAAACGAUGAUUACUCGAUGUCGGCGAUAAACUGUCGGCGUCUUAGCGAAAGCGUUAAGUAAUCCACCUGGGGAGUACGCCCGCAAGGGUGAAACUCAAAUGAAUUGACGG